rnacentral:lncRNA from 1 species
AUGAUGAUGACUCGAUUGAUGAACCAGUAAAAAUUAUUUUUACUGUUCAUCCCUGCUCUGAUCAGAAACUCUCAGAGUCAUCAUCCUAUGAGAUCACAUAGGAUGUUGUCUCCUCCUAUAAGGAGUGAUCGAUUUUUUAUUGACCAUUCACAACCUCCAUGCACACUUCACCAUAUCCAGAAUAUCCCACACAUAACUCAAAGUGAUGUGCUAG